UACGUAGGAGGCGAGCGUUGUCCGGAAUUACUGGGCGUAAAGCGCACGUAGGCGGAUCGUUAAGUCGGGGGUGAAAUCCUGGAGCUCAACUCCAGAACUGCCUUCGAUACUGGCGAUCUCGAGUCCGGAAGAGGUGAGUGGAACUCCUAGUGUAGAGGUGGAAUUCGUAGAUAUUAGGAAGAACACCAGUGGCGAAGGCGACUCACUGGUCCGGUACUGACGCUGAGGUGCGAAAGCGUGGGGAGCAAACAGG
rnacentral:rRNA from 1 species